UACGUAGGUGGCAAGCGUUGUCCGGAUUUACUGGGCGUAAAGAGCGCGCAGGCGGUCGUUCAAGUCGCGUGUGAAAGCCCCCGGCUCAACUGGGGAGGGUCACGCGAUACUGUUCGACUUGAAGGCAGGAGAGGGAAGUGGAAUUCCGAGUGUAGAGGUGAAAUUCGUAGAUAUUCGGAAGAACACCAGUGGCGAAGGCGACUCACUGGACACAUAUUGACGCUGAGGUGCGAAAGCGUGGGGAGCAAACAGG
rnacentral:rRNA from 1 species